rnacentral:rRNA from 1 species
UACGUAGGGUGCGAGCGUUAAUCGGAAUUACUGGGCGUAAAGCGUGCGCAGGCGGUUGUGCAAGACAGAUGUGAAAUCCCCGGGCUUAACCUGGGAAUUGCAUUUGUGACUGCACGGCUAGAGUGUGUCAGAGGGGGGUAGAAUUCCACGUGUAGCAGUGAAAUGCGUAGAUAUGUGGAGGAAUACCGAUGGCGAAGGCAGCCCCCUGGGAUAACACCGACGCUCAUGCACGAAAGCGUGGGGAGCAAACAGG